rnacentral:rRNA from 1 species
AGCGGACGCUGGCGGCAGGCCUAACACAUGCAAGUCGAACGAACCUUUCGGGGUUAGUGGCGGACGGGUGAGUAACACGUGGGAACGUGCCUUUAGGUUCGGAAUAACUCAGGGAAACUUGUGCUAAUACCGAAUGUGCCCUUCGGGGGAAAGAUUUAUCGCCUUUAGAGCGGCCCGCGUCUGAUUAGCUAGUUGGUUGAGGUAAUGGCACACCAAGGCGACGAUCAGUAGCUGGUCUGAGAGGAUGAUCAGCCACAUUGGGACUGAGACACGGCCCAAACUCCUACGGGAGGCAGCAGUGGGGAAUCUUGCGCAAUGGGCGAAAGCCUGACGCAGCCAUGCCGCGUGAAUGAUGAAGGUCUUAGGAUUGUAAAAUUCUUUCACCGGGGACGAUAAUGACGGUACCCGGAGAAGAAGCCCCGGCUAACUUCGUG